AGAGUUUGAUCCUGGCUCAGGAUGAACGCUAGCGACAGGCUUAACACAUGCAAGUCGAGGGGCAGCGGGGGAUAAGCUUGCUUUUCCUGCCGGCGACCGGCGCACGGGUGAGUAACACGUAUGCAACCUGCCCUUGUCAGAGGGAUAAUCCGGAGAAAUCCGGUCUAAUAUCGCAUAAAGCGUUUGCGGGGCAUCCUGCGAGCGCCAAAGGAGUAAUCCGGACAGGGAUGGGCAUGCGGCGCAUUAGCUAGUUGGGGGGGUAACGGCCCACCAAGGCGACGAUGCGUAGGGGUUCUGAGAGGAAGGUCCCCCACAUUGGUACUGAGACACGGACCAAACUCCUACGGGAGGCAGCAGUGAGGAAUAUUGGUCAAUGGGCGGAAGCCUGAACCAGCCAAGUCGCGUGAGGGAAGACGGCCCUAAGGGUUGUAAACCUCUUUUGCCGGGGAGCAAAAGCGCCGUGCGCGGUGCUAUGAGAGUACCCGGAGAAAAAGCAUCGGCUAACUCCGUGCCAGCAGCCGCGGUAAUACGGAGGAUGCGAGCGUUAUCCGGAUUUAUUGGGUUUAAAGGGUGCGUAGGCGGACAGUUAAGUCAGCGGUCAAAACGGGCGGCUCAACCGCCUGCCGCCGUUGAAACUGGCAGUCUAGAGUGGGCGAGAAGUACGCGGAAUGCGCGGUGUAGCGGUGAAAUGCAUAGAUAUUGCGCAGAACUCCGAUUGCGAAGGCAGCGUACCGGCGCCCGACUGACGCUGAGGCACGAAAGCGUGGGGAUCGAACAGGAUUAGAUACCCUGGUAGUCCACGCAGUAAACGAUGGACACUAUCUGUUCGGGUCGAGAGAGAUCUGAGUGGCACAGCGAAAGCGUUAAGUGUCCCACCUGGGGAGUACGCCGGCAACGGUGAAACUCAAAGGAAUUGACGGGGGCCCG
rnacentral:rRNA from 1 species